AAUCAACUAUUUUCUGUCUCUUUACCUGAUAAACUGAUAAGACAAAAGUAAGUUCUAGAAGUGGAAUUAAAGGAAAACUCAUUAAGAAAUUGCUUGAGAGUUACAGCUAGACAUGCACAGAGGUCUAAAGCUGAAGUAGAAUUUAACGGAAUCCCGAAGCUCCAGGAACGACACUAUCUACAGUGGGACUAGGGUGUGAAACAGCCACAAAUGACACUGUCAGGGUUUCAGGAUCAAUUUAGACAGGUUUCAUUUUUCAGUGACGGUCAUGACGGCAUUUUCAGAGUCAGCUUUAGUAAGUAGAU
rnacentral:lncRNA from 1 species